rnacentral:rRNA from 1 species
UCUACCUAGUAGUGGGGGAUAGCUCGGGGAAACUCGAAUUAAUACCGCAUACGACCUACGGGUGAAAGGGGGCGCAAGCUCUUGCUAUUAGAUGAGCCUAAAUCAGAUUAGCUAGUUGGUGGGGUAAAGGCCCACCAAGGCGACGAUCUGUAACUGGUCUGAGAGGAUGAUCAGUCACACCGGAACUGAGACACGGUCCGGACUCCUACGGGAGGCAGCAGUGGGGAAUAUUGGACAAUGGGGGCAACCCUGAUCCAGCCAUGCCGCGUGUGUGAAGAAGGCCUUUUGGUUGUAAAGCACUUUAAGCAGGGAGGAGAGGCUAAUGGUUAAUACCCAUUAGAUUAGACGUUACCUGCAGAAUAAGCACCGGCUAACUCUGUGCCAGCAGCCGCGGUAAUACAGAGGGUGCGAGCGUUAAUCGGAAUUACUGGGCGUAAAGCGAGUGUAGGUGGCUCAUUAAGUCACAUGUGAAAUCCCCGGGCUUAACCUGGGAACUGCAUGUGAUACUGGUGGUGCUAGAAUAUGUGAGAGGGAAGUAGAAUUCCAGGUGUAGCGGUGAAAUGCGUAGAGAUCUGGAGGAAUACCGAUGGCGAAGGCAGCUUCCUGGCAUAAUAUUGACACUGAGAUUCGAAAGCGUGGGUAGCAAACAGGAUUAGAUACCCUGGUAGUCCACGCCGUAAACGAUGUCUACUAGCCGUUGGGGUCCUUGAGACUUUAGUGGCGCAGUUAACGCGAUAAGUAGACCGCCUGGGGAGUACGGCCGCAAGGUUAAAACUCAAAUGAAUUGACGGGGGCCCGCACAAGCGGUGGAGCAUGUGGUUUAAUUCGAUGCAACGCGAAGAACCUUACCUGGUCUUGACAUAGUGAGAAUCUCUCAGAGAUGAGAGAGUGCCUUCGGGAACUCACAUACAGGUGCUGCAUGGCUGUCGUCAGCUCGUGUCGUGAGAUGUUGGGUUAAGUCCCGCAACGAGCGCAACCCUUUUCCUUAUUUGCCAGCGGGUUAAGCCGGGAACUUUAAGGAUACUGCCAGUGACAAACUGGAGGAAGGCGGGGACGACGUCAAGUCAUCAUGGCCCUUACGACCAGGGCUACACACGUGCUACAAUGGUAGGUACAGAGGGUUGCUACACAGCGAUGUGAUGCUAAUCUCAAAAAGCCUAUCGUAGUCCGGAUUGGAGUCUGCAACUCGACUCCAUGAAGUCGGAAUCGCUAGUAAUCGCGGAUCAGAAUGCCGCGGUGAAUACGUUCCCGGGCCUUGUACACACCGCCCGUCACACC